rnacentral:rRNA from 1 species
AUUGAACGCUGGCGGCAUGCCUUACACAUGCAAGUCGAACGGUAACAGGUCUUCGGAUGCUGACGAGUGGCGAACGGGUGAGUAAUACAUCGGAACGUGCCUAGUAGUGGGGGAUAACUACUCGAAAGAGUGGCUAAUACCGCAUGAGAUCUACGGAUGAAAGCAGGGGAUCGCAAGACCUUGUGCUACUAGAGCGGACGAUGGCAGAUUAGGUAUUUGGUGGGAUAAAAGCUUACCAAGCCGACGAUCGGUAGCUGGUCUGAGAGGACGAUCAGCCACACUGGGACUGAGACACGGCCCAGACUCCUACGGGAGGCAGCAGUGGGGAAUUUUGGACAAUGGGCGCAAGCCUGAUCCAGCAAUGCCGCGUGCAGGAUGAAGGCUUUCGGGUUGUAAACUGCUUUUGUACGGAACGAAAAGCCCUGGGUUAAUACCCUGGGGUCAUGACGGUACCGUAAGAAUAAGCACCGGCUAACUACGUGCCAGCCGCCGCCGUAAGAC